AUUGAACGCUGGCGGCAGGCUUAACACAUGCAAGUCGAGCGGAGAUGAGGUGCUUGCACCUUAUCUUAGCGGCGGACGGGUGAGUAAUGCUUAGGAAUCUGCCUAUUAGUGGGGGACAACAUUCCGAAAGGAAUGCUAAUACCGCAUACGUCCUACGGGAGAAAGCAGGGGAUCUUCGGACCUUGCGCUAAUAGAUGAGCCUAAGUCGGAUUAGCUAGUUGGUGGGGUAAAGGCCUGCCAAGGCGACGAUCUGUAGCGGGUCUGAGAGGAUGAUCCGCCACACUGGGACUGGGACACGGCCCAGACUCCUACGGGAGGCAGCAGUGGGGAAUAUUGGACAAUGGGGGGAACCCUGAUCCAGCCAUGCCGCGUGUGUGAAGAAGGCCUUAUGGUUGUAAAGCACUUUAAGCGAGGAGGAGGCUACUGAGACUAAUACUCUUGGAUAGUGGACGUUACUCGCAGAAUAAGCACCGGCUAACUCUGUGCCAGCCGCCGCAGUAACAC
rnacentral:rRNA from 1 species